CCUACGGGUGGCUGCAGUGGGGAAUAUUGGACAAUGGGGGCAACCCUGAUCCAGCCAUGCCGCGUGUGUGAAGAAGGCCCUCGGGUUGUAAAGCACUUUCAGUGAGGAAGAACGCCUGGUGGUUAAUACCCAUCAGGAAAGACAUCACUCACAGAAGAAGCACCGGCUAACUCCGUGCCAGCAGCCGCGGUAAUACGGAGGGUGCGAGCGUUAAUCGGAAUUACUGGGCGUAAAGCGCGCGUAGGUGGCUUGAUAAGCCGGUUGUGAAAGCCCCGGGCUCAACCUGGGAACGGCAUCCGGAACUGGCAAGCUAGAGUGCAGGAGAGGAAGGUAGAAUUCCCGGUGUAGCGGUGAAAUGCGUAGAGAUCGGGAGGAAUACCAGUGGCGAAGGCGGCCUUCUGGACUGACACUGACACUGAGGUGCGAAAGCGUGGGUAGCAAACAGGAUUAGAUACCCCUGUAGUC
rnacentral:rRNA from 1 species